GGAAGCGUGUCCGAGCGGCCGAAGGAACAGCACUCGAAAUGCUGCGUUGGGCAACCCCCAACCGUGGGUUCAAAUCCCACCGCUUCCG
rnacentral:tRNA from 1 species